rnacentral:rRNA from 1 species
ACCUUAUGUAUGUAAGCGUAUUNCCGNUGGAGUUCUUAUAUGUAUUAAAUACUUGUAUUUAUGCAUAUUCCUCCUAUUUAAACCUGCUUCAGUGCUCUUCACCGAGUGUUGUUGUGGGCCGGUACAAUUACUUUGAACAAAUUAGAGUGCUUAAAGCAGGCUCCAAAUGCCUGAAUAUUUUGUGCAUGGAAUAAUGAAAUAAGACCUCUGUUCUACUUUCAUUGGUUUUUAGAUCAAGAGGUAAUGAUUAAUAGAAGCAGUUUGGGGGCAUUAGUAUUACGACGCGAGAGGUGAAAUUCUUGGACCGUCGUAAGACUAACUUAAGCGAAAGCAUUUGCCAAAGAUGUUUUCAUUAAUCAAGAACGAAAGUUAGAGGUUCGAAGGCGAUCAGAUACCGCCCUAGUUCUAACCAUAAACGAUGCCAGCUAGCAAUUGGGUGUAGCUACUAUCAUGGCUCUCUCAGUCGCUUCCCGGGAAACCAAAGCUUUUGGGCUCCGGGGGAAGUAUGGUUGCAAAGCUGAAACUUAAAGGAAUUGACGGAAGGGCACCACCAGGAGUGGAGCCUGCGGCUUAAUUUGACUCAACACGGGAAAACUUACCAGGUCCGAACA